rnacentral:rRNA from 1 species
GAUUUGAAGAGCUUGCUCAGAUAUGACGAUGGACAUUGCAAAGAGUGGCGAACGGGUGAGUAACACGUGGGAAACCUACCUCUUAGCAGGGGAUAACACUUGGAAACAAGUGCUAAUACCGUAUAACACUAAUAACCGCAUGGUUAUUAGUUAAAAGAUGGUCUUGCUAUCACUAAGAGAUGGUCCCGCGGUGUAUUAGCUAGUUGGUAAGGUAAUGGCUUACCAAGGCAAUGAUACAUAGCCGAGUUGAGAGACUGAUCGGCCACAAUGGGACUGAGACACGGCCCAUACUCCUACGGGAGGCAGCAGUAGGGAAUCUUCCACAAUGGACGAAAGUCUGAUGGAGCAACGCCGCGUGUGUGAUGAAGGGUUUCGGCUCGUAAAACACUGUUGUAAGAGAAGAAUGACAUUGAGAGUAACUGUUCAGUGUGUGACGGUAUCUUACCAGAAAGGAACGGCUAAAUACGUGCCAGCAGCCGCGGUAAUACGUAUGUUCCAAGCGUUAUCCGGAUUUAUUGGGCGUAAAGCGAGCGCAGACGGUUAUUUAAGUCCGAAGUGAAAGCCCACAGCUUAACUGUGGAAGUGCUUUGGAAACUGGAUAACUUGAGUGCAGUAGAGGAGAGUGGAACUCCAUGUGUAGCGGUGAAAUGCGUAGAUAUAUGGAAGAACACCAGUGGCGAAGGCGGCUCUCUGGACUGUAACUGACGUUGAGGCUCGAAAGUGUGGGUAGCAAACAGGAUUAGAUACCCUGGUAGUCCACACCGUAAACGAUGAGUGCUAGAUGUUUGAGGGUUUCCGCCCUUAAGUGUCGCAGCUAACGCAUUAAGCACUCCGCCUGGGGAGUACGACCGCAAGGUUGAAACUCAAAGGAAUUGACGGGGACCCGCACAAGCGGUGGAGCAUGUGGUUUAAUUCGAAGCAACGCGAAGAACCUUACCAGGUCUUGACAUCCUUUGACCACUUCAGAGAUGAAGCUUUCCCUUCGGGGACAAAGUGACAGGUGGUGCAGGGUUGUCG